rnacentral:rRNA from 1 species
UUUAAAGAGAGUUUGAUCCUGGCUCAGGACGAACGCUGGCGGCGUGCCUAAUACAUGCAAGUCGAACGAACGGAGGAAGAGCUUGCUCUUCCAAAGUUAGUGGCGGACGGGUGAGUAACACGUGGGCAACCUGCCUGUAAGUUGGGGAUAACUCCGGGAAACCGGGGCUAAUACCGAAUGAUAAAGUGUGGCGCAUGCCACGCUUUUGAAAGAUGGUUUCGGCUAUCG